ACCAGGAGAUAUGUUGAAUCAUGGACAGGUACCAGCAUAUCCACUAAGCUCUAUAUAUGUUGAUGGUGCAAGAUCCAAGUGGGAUGGAACAACAAAUUCCUGCUCAUCCUCCUGCUCAAUAAUACAUGUGCUCAGAAUCUGUUCAUAAUGCAUGGUGAGAUGGGAUCUCACUGUGCUGCCCAGGCUGGUCUCGAACUGCUGGACUCAAGUAAUCCUCCCAUCUUGGCCUCCCAAAGUGCUGGGAUUAUAGGUGUGAGACACUGUGCCUGGCUUUUUUUUUUUUUUCUCCCAACUUUUCUUAAAAUGUUAUCUUCACUUCAGUUAAGCUGCCUUUGUUUGAUCUCUGAGAUCUAAUGUGGAAUGCCUUUUCUUAUACAUUUAUUCAACUUUGGCACUCUUGAUAUCUUGGGCUGAUAAUUCUUUGUUGGGGUUGGGGAGAGACUGCCCUGUGCAUUGUGUGAUUUAUUAAUGAAAAAUACUUUACAAAAACA
rnacentral:antisense_RNA from 1 species